GACAUGCGAGUGCUAUAGUGCAAGUCGAGCGAACAGAUAAGGAGCUUGCUCCUUUGACGUUAGCGGCGGACGGGUGAGUAACACGUGGAUAACCUACCUAUAAGACUGGGAUAACUUCGGGAAACCGGAGCUAAUACCGGAUAACAUAUUGAACCGCAUGGUUCAAUAGUGAAAGGCGGCUUUGCUGUCACUUAUAGAUGGAUCCGCGCCGUAUUAGCUAGUUGGUAAGGUAACGGCUUACCAAGGCAACGAUACGUAGCCGACCUGAGAGGGUGAUCGGCCACACUGGAACUGAGACACGGUCCAGACUCCUACGGGAGGCAGCAGUAGGGAAUCUUCCGCAAUGGGCGAAAGCCUGACGGAGCAACGCCGCGUGAGUGAUGAAGGUCUUCGGAUCGUAAAACUCUGUUAUCAGGGAAGAACAAAUGUGUAAGUAACUGUGCACAUCUUGACGGUACCUGAUCAGAAAGCCACGGCUAACUACGUGCCAGCAGCCGCGGUAAUACGUAGGUGGCAAGCGUUAUCCGGAAUUAUUGGGCGUAAAGCGCGCGUAGGCGGUUUUUUAAGUCUGAUGUGAAAGCCCACGGCUCAACCGUGGAGGGUCAUUGGAAACUGGAAAACUUGAGUGCAGAAGAGGAAAGUGGAAUUCCAUGUGUAGCGGUGAAAUGCGCAGAGAUAUGGAGGAACACCAGUGGCGAAGGCGACUUUCUGGUCUGUAACUGACGCUGAUGUGCGAAAGCGUGGGGAUCAAACAGGAUUAGAUACCCUGGUAGUCCACGCCGUAAACGAUGAGUGCUAAGUGUUAGGGGGGUUUCCGCCCCUUAGUGCUGCAGCUAACGCAUUAAGCACUCCGCCUGGGGAGUACGACCGCAAGGUUGAGACUCAAAGGAAUUGACGGGGACCCGCACAAGCGGUAAGCAUGUGGUUUAUUUCGAAGCAACGCGUAAACCUUACCAGAUCUUGACAUCCUUUGACCGCUCUAGAGAUAGAGUCUUCCCCUUCGGGGGACAAAGUGACAGUGG
rnacentral:rRNA from 1 species